rnacentral:rRNA from 1 species
AGCGAACGCUGGCGGCAGGCCUAACACAUGCAAGUCGAACGAACCCUUCGGGGUUAGUGGCGGACGGGUGAGUAACACGUGGGAACGUGCCUUUAGGUUCGGAAUAACUCAGGGAAACUUGUGCUAAUACCGAAUGUGCCCUUCGGGGGAAAGAUUUAUCGCCUUUAGAGCGGCCCGCGUCUGAUUAGCUAGUUGGUGAGGUAAUGGCUCACCAAGGCGACGAUCAGUAGCUGGUCUGAGAGGAUGACCAAGCACAUUGGGACUGCGACACGGGCCAAACUCCGCCGGGAGGCAGCAGUGGGGAAUCUUGCGCAAUGGGCGAAAGCCUGAAGCAGCCAUGCAGCGGGCAUGAUGAAGGUCUUAGGAUUGUAAAAUCCUUUCACCGGUGGAGGUAAUGACGGUAGCCGGAGAAGAAGCCCCGGCUAACUUCGUGCCAGCCGCCGCCGUAAGAC